rnacentral:lncRNA from 1 species
GGACCAAUACCUACAAGGUCCUCUUGAGAGGAAGGCAGCAGUAAUUGACCCUGUAACUAACUGAAUGCAUCUGGACUGUUGAAGAUGGAGAAAAUCAUCUCCAUGAGCAGAGCUAAAAAGAAACCUGGGAAUCCUUGAGAGCUGGAUGAAACCAUCACAAAAAAUGAAAAAGAAUCAUAAAUGAAUGAAGUCUUUGGAGAGAAAACUGCAAACUGACUCAAAGGAAAACCUUCCCUAGGAAGUUUAAAAGAUAAUCUGUCAUACCAUGAAUUCAUGGACUAUUCCUGACCACAGAUUUAGGAUGCUCUCUGAAUAUCCUUUACCGGAAGCUGGAAACUGCAUCGAAAGAAUGUUCUAUCAUAUGCAAGAACUUCAUUAACAAGAGCCUAAAACAGAAAACCAUUCGAAGCUGAAGAGUUACCUGAGAGAGAAUCUGGAGAGUAAACUACCACCACUUGCUUUGCCUCUGGCAACAACUAUAUAUUUCUCCUAAUGAUAAAUUACCAGCAGUUUGCAAAUAAGGAAGCUGAAGAUCUGAGACAUAAUUCGCUUGCCCUGAAUCCAGUAGUGGAUGAACAGGAGAGCUGAGAUAGAAGCCCAGGUCUUCUGCCUUUCAGCUCACUACCUGUGUACUGCUUAAUAACUGGCUCCUAGUCCACCUGUUGUGAUUGCUCAGGUUGAACUUCGAACCUGCCAUACAAGAACUCUGUGUGUCAUGCUGAGACCACAUUCCCUCAACUUCUCUCUUCUGUCUGCGCCUUUGAAAAUAUUCAUAGUUGCUAUUAAGUUGUUCAUUAUUAAAUCAGUCAGUCACAAAGGAUUUCUGGUGUUUCUGUUACAUGCUGGGAACUGCUGUUGGUGCUUGAGAUGUUGUGAGAACAAAAUAUUAAUUUAUACUGAGAGAAGGGUUAGACUUAUCUUUAAACAGACCCCUCACUUCUGUAUUUAUAGGUUUUUUCUCCCAAGUAACAGAAAUCCAAUUUCAAAAUAAAUUUAAGGCAAACGGAUUGAUUUGUGUAACUGAAAGCUCUAUGAGUA